rnacentral:misc_RNA from 1 species
UUUUGAAGUGUAAUGUGCGGUAUAUGUGUUUAUAUUCAGCUCUUUUAUAUUUUUCAUUCUUAACUUUUUGUUAAAGACUAAGUCAACUAAAAAUGUCAUCGAAUUUACAAAAACAAUUAUUUUUAUUCGAAAGUACUACACUAAAAUAUUUACUGUAUAAAAAAUAUUUAAAAAAAAGAAGAUCAGUUGUAAAUUCAAUUAUUUAUAAAGAUAGACUUGUUUUUGGUGAAUUCUUUCACCUAUACCCACAGUUGCGAAAAAAUGAAACUUCAUUUCGAUCUUAUACUAGAAUGACUACCGAUACAUUUGAUUAUAUUUUAAAACUAAUAUCACCGGAAUUUGAUCUCAAGACCACAAAUUUCCAAGAACCUAUUUCCGUAGAGCAGAGGUUACUUGUAACAAUAAGGUAUUUAGCAACAGGACUAGCAUUCAGGCAAAUCGCAAUGUCAUUUAGAAUAUCUAAGUCCGCAGUCUCAAGCAUUGUUAUUGAAGUGUGUAAAGUAAUAUGGAAUACGUUAAAAUUCAAACACAUGUCUACUCCAAGCGUCGAUACUUUUAAAAGCACAGCAAUAGAAUUUCAUGAAAAAUGGAAUUUUCCAAACUGUGUGGGAAGUAUCGACGGCAAACACAUCAGACUGCGAUGCCCUCAAAAUUCCGGGAGUAUGUAUUUUAAUUAUAAACAAUAUCACUCGAUUGUUCUAAUGGCAGUAGCUGACGCGAGUUAUAGAUUUUUGAUGAUAGACGUGGGUGGAUACGGGAAAGAUAGCGAUGGUGGUGUUAUGGUAAAUUCUAAAUUUUACCAACGUAUCGAAAACGGUUCGCUUAAACUACCGAAUGAAAUAAAAUUACCAAAUUCGAACGUCUUGGCUCCUUUUGUGUUUAUAGGAGAUGAAGCUUUUCCAUUGAGAAAUUACUUAAUGAGGCCUUUUCCAAGAAAACAGUGUCAAGAAAACGAAAAACAGUAUUACAACUAUAGACAUGCGCGAGCACGAAUGACAAUCGAGUGUGCAUUCGGCAUAGCUUCAUCAAAGUUUCGAAUUCUAUUAAAAUCAAUAGAAACAAAAGUAGAAAACGCGGAUCAUAUUGUAAAGGCUAUUUGUAUUUUACACAAUACAAUAAUAGAUUUGGAAAAAAAAUCAUCAACACAACAUUACGCCCUAGACGAUUACGAAACAGACAUAUAGAAGGGCCAUAAUCAAAUGAUAUCGCUGAAUUACAAAGGCAGAGCCAACAAUCGAGCGUCAAGUACCGCAAUUAAUAUAAGAAAUAGAUUUGUGAAGUAUUUUAAAGAUAAUAAAAUUUAAAAAUAAUUUUCUACAAACAUUAAUAUCGCAAUCCUCACGGGACACCCUGUAUUUUAUAAUCAUUUCCAACCAAUAGUAAAUCAAGUUCAAGCGUAAAAGAACUAUUCACCUGCAUCAGUUACCCGUCAUCCCUGCAUCU